rnacentral:rRNA from 1 species
AUACGGAGGGUGCAAGCGUUAUUCGGAAUCACUGGGCGUAAAGGGUGCGUAGGCGGUUUGAUAAGUCUGAUGUGAAAUCCUAUGGCUCAACCAUAGAACUGCAUUGGAAACUGUCAGACUAGAAUACUGAAGGGGCAGAUGGAAUUAGUGGUGUAGGGGUAAAAUCCGUAGAUAUCACUAGGAAUACCGAAAGCGAAAGCGAUCUGCUGGGAAGUUAUUGACGCUGAGGCACGAAAGCGUGGGGAGCAAACAGGAUUAGAUACCCUAGUAGUCC